rfam:Angiostrongylus costaricensis strain Costa Rica genome assembly, scaffold: ACOC_scaffold0002333
GCGUUUGUAGUGUAAUGGUUAGCCUGGAUGCCUUCCAAGCAUCCGACGGGGGUUUGAUUCCCCCCAAGCGCA